CAAGUCUGUAGCAGUAUGUUUUGCCCACCUGCACAAGCUGUUAAGACAAUGCUGAAUCCCUCUGUUUGGUGAGUCCCACCUGCCAUGGAUUUGGGCAUAAGCAUCUAGGACUUCCUCCAAAGUCUCUGAUCUCUGUAGUUAUGUUUUUGUACAGAAGGCUUUUACCUGUAUUGACCAGAGGAAAGCUGAGGGCUUGUCUAUCAUUGUCAGGACAGCUGUCAGCGAUUAGGACUACCCUGGGAGUACAUCACAGAAGUGCUCCUACUGUCUGAACUAGCACUCAGGUGCAUUCGUAAGGCAUGAAGAGGACUGAAGACAUAUUUUGUGGGAUUUUCUUGUUCAAACUAACAGACUCUUGCACAGUCUGGACAUCCACAACAAGGGUCCAACUGAAUUCCUGAGCAGAUGGUCAAUAUCCAAUUUUUCUGACACUUCCUUUGAAAGGGAACUUUUCGACAUGACAUCAGCCUCCUCUUUUGUACCUGUGAAGUCCUGACAAAUGAGCGUCUACCUCGCAUCAUCCAUCAUCACCCCAGCAGAACCUGGCUCACCUUUAUCACGGCAGGGAGGCAGGCUCUCAGCCUUCACAUCAGCAUACAGAUAACUGCAGCCUCAUCACUCAGGGCUAACCUGGACCCUCCUUUUCAGAUCAUUCACACACGACUGUACUGUAAACCUUAUACUGUUAUUGAUGAUAUCUGUAUGUAUUUCAGUAGUUGUAGCCAUACCUUGUAUCCUGUACAAUUGUAGAGCAAUAAAGUUCAAUCAUUAAUUUUUCUUCUUGCAACGUUCACAUAUUAGUAUUCUGUGUACCACAAGCUGCAUGUUCAAUCUCUUCCUUAUUUGAAUCAUACUAGUACUACAUGUAGCCCUAACAGUUUUGACUGAAACAUUCCUAUUUAUUAACAUCCUUUACAUCCCAAUGAUCCAUCUCAUACAUAUAUCCAAAUUGCCUCUACCAUGA